CUACGGAGGUGGAAGCUGUGUGUGAGCUGCGCCCCGCAGCCCGCUCUCCCGCUCCAUUCUUCCCGCAGCCCCCCCUGCUCCAACCAGGUGACUGGGGGCUCAGCGGACCCGCCCUGCCGCCCGGAAUGGAGCGGGUCCCCAUGGAGCCCAAACUCCCUGCUCCACCUCUCUUCCCGCUGCCGCCGCCAAGCCGCUCCGAGCCCGAGGGAGAUGGCAACCCCCAUCCUUGUGCACGCCGUUGGACAGACUCCGCGCCGGAGCCCCGUCUGCCCUGGGCUGCCAGAGGUCUCCACAUCCUCCUCCUCCCUACUCUACCUGAGCUUCUUCCUCAUCUGCGGGACCCUGUGCCAAGGAACCUACCCAAAUCCAGGCCUGCUCCCUGAAACAUUGGUAAGAAACUGGAAAAAGAGGCUAAUAUGGAGAGGGAAGAAGUUUGGCAAGAUCUUUGGAGAGAAAAAGGACAGAGCUGAGCAAAUCUGCCUGCCAAAAUAUCACCCCUUUUCCAUGCUCCAUUCACAACCACCAGCCCAUUUUUCCACAUGACAAUCCUCUGCAGUCCAGAAGCUUGAAAAUUACAAGCCCAAGAUUCAAGACACAUGUUUCUUGUCCAGAGUCCUGCCUGUCUAGAAACAAAGAUAAAUCAGACCUCAGAGAAUCCGUCAAGCACUAUAUCCACUGGGCCCCCUAACCAGACUAGAAGUGCCCCAGUACAUUCUGAAGGGACACCUAUCACCUAUGUCCCCUGUGUGAGGUGAGGUGAUUUUGGAUGGAGUGACAACGACCCAGUGUCAGCAACCCUUCAUCUCUGGGCGUGUCUAUGGGGUUCUGCCAAACUUACCUCCACUGCAUCUCAGACUGAAGGUUCAGGGAGCUGCAGAUGGGCUCUGCCUGUGCUCUGGCACCGUCUGGUGUCCAUGCGCUCUAACAUUAACUCUCAGCUCUUCCGCCAGUUCCCUCAGUAGCCCUCUGGGCUGCACUGGCCUUGGACACCUGCCAGCUUGAUUUUCUUCCUCCUCUCCCUCUCAGUGCACUGAAGUGCCCUAUAGACCAGGGUAUUUCUCAAAGUCUCCUAGAGCGCUCACCACAACCCAAUACAGUAAAACUUGUUGCCUCCCCACCGUUGGGUCCUGAGAGCCCUCUUAUAUCAAUCCCCCUGCCUCAGUUCAUGAUACUGCCUUUAGGUCUGCUUCCUGCAAUAGAGGUAAGAUACAUGGGAAAAAAAGGCUCAAUGGACAGAAAAGAAGGAAGUUUAUGGAGAUGUCUUGAGAGAAAAUUCACAGUGAUUUGCAUAGCUGCCAACCAAAAUAUUACAACUUUUACAUGCUACAUUUAUGAAUAACAUCCCUUAUUUGUACAUGAUACACUCACAGAGGCCUUAGGCUUGAAACUACAAGCCCAAGAUUCAAGACAGAUGUUUCUGGGUCCUGAGUUGUGCCUCUCCUGAAACAAGGGAAGUCUGGCCCCAGAGAACCUGUCAAACUCUCUGGCCCUUGGGCCACAUGACCAGGCUGGAAAUACCCAUCAGAUUUUGAAGCCACAGGCAUGUCCCCACACUGAGGUGAGAAAAUUCUGGGCCAGAGAGUCAGAGGCACCCUGUAACCAAACCCUACAACUCUGGGCACAUCCUGAGUGUUCCACCAACUCAUCUUCAACCACAUCUCUAAGCUGGAGGUGUGUCCAGGAAGCUGCAGGUACACGUUUCUGCUGCUCUGGCACCAUCUGGCGGCCAUCAGCUCUAACAUCAACUCUCAGCCCUUCAUUCUGUUUUCCCUCAGCUGUUCCCUGGGGCUGUUCUGGCUUUAGAUCUCUGCCAGCUUGAUGUUCUUUCUCUCAUCCUCUAAGCUUAAUGAAGUGCCCUACAGACUGGGCCGUUUCUCUUUCAAAGUCUCCCAGAGCACUCAUGCCAACCUACCCUAUCAAUACAUUAAAACCCUCUGCUUCC
ensembl:lncRNA